rnacentral:rRNA from 1 species
AUUGAACGCUGGCGGCAUGCCUUACACAUGCAAGUCGAACGGCAGCAUGGAGAGCUUGCUCUCUGAUGGCGAGUGGCGAACGGGUGAGUAAUGCAUCGGAACGUACCGUGUAAUGGGGGAUAACGUAGCGAAAGUUACGCUAAUACCGCAUACGACCUGAGGGUGAAAGCAGGGGAUCGCAAGACCUUGCGUUACACGAGCGGCCGAUGUCAGAUUAGCUAGUUGGUGAGGUAGAGGCUCACCAAGGCGACGAUCUGUAGCGGGUCUGAGAGGAUGAUCCGCCACACUGGGACUGAGACACGGCCCAGACUCCUACGGGGGCAGCAGUGGGGAAUUUUGGACAAUGGGGGCAACCCUGAUCCAGCCAUGCCGCGUGAGUGAAGAAGGCCUUCGGGUUGUAAAGCUCUUUCGGCCGGGAAGAAAUCGCACAGGCUAAUACUCUGUGUGGAUGACGGUACCGGCAUAAGAAGCACCGGCUAACUACGUGCCAGCCGCCGCCGUAA